rnacentral:rRNA from 1 species
GAAUUCGGUCCCAAGGGUUCGGCUGUUCGCCGAUUAAAGUGGCACGCGAGCUGGGUUCAGAACGUCGUGAGACAGUUCGGUCCCUAUCUGUUGCGGGCGCAGGAGAUUUGAAGGGAGCUGUCCUUAGUACGAGAGGACCGGGAUGGACUGACCUCUGGUGCACCAGUUGUCGUGCCAACGGCACAGCUGGGUAGCUAUGUCGGGACGAGAUAAACGCUGAAGGCAUCUAAGCGUGAAACUCCCCCAUGGUUGAUAGGCCGGCGGUGUAAGCGCAGUAAUGUGUUCAGCCUACCGGUACUAAUAGCCCGAGGGCUUGACCUA